UACGUAGGGGCCUAGCGUUGUCCGGAAUUAUUGGGCGUAAAGAGCUCGUAGGCGGUUCGGCAAGUCGGAUGUGAAAUCUCCACGCUUAACGUGGAGGGGCCAUUCGAAACUGCUGUGACUCGAGUCCGGUAGGGGAGUGUGGAAUUCCCGGUGUAGCGGUGAAAUGCGUAGAUAUCAGGAGGAACACCGGUGGCGAAGGCGGCUCUCGUGGACCACAACUGACGCUGAGGCACGAAAGCGUGGGGAGCAAACAGG
rnacentral:rRNA from 1 species